UACGAAGGGGGCUAGCGUUGUUCGGAAUUACUGGGCGUAAAGCGCACGUAGGCGGACAUUUAAGUCAGGGGUGAAAUCCCGGGGCUCAACCCCGGAACGGCCUUUGAUACUGGGUGUCUUGAGUUCGGAAGAGGUGAGUGGAAUUGCGAGUGUAGAGGUGAAAUUCGUAGAUAUUCGCAAGAACACCAGUGGCGAAGGCGGCUCACUGGCCCGGUACUGACGCUGAGGUGCGAAAGCGUGGGGAGCAAACGGGG
rnacentral:rRNA from 1 species